CCUACGGGUGGCAGAAGGGAGGAAGAGGGGGAAAGGGGAGGAAGACGGAAAGAGAAAAGGAGAGGGUAGGAUGACGGCCCUACGGGUUGUAAACUGCUUUUAUACGGGAAUAACGCGCCUUACGUGUAGGGCUUUGCAUGUACCGUAUGAAUAAGGACCGGCUAAUUCCGUGCCAGCAGCCGCGGUAAUACGGAAGGUCCGGGCGUUAUCCGGAUUUAUUGGGUUUAAAGGGAGCGUAGGCCGCAUGUCAAGCGUGCUGUGAAAUGUCCGGGCUCAACCCGGGCCUUGCAGCGCGAACUGGCGUGCGUGAGUCCGCGGAAAGCAGGCGGAAUUCGUCGUGUAGCGGUGAAAUGCUUAGAUAUGACGAAGAACCCCGAUUGCGAAGGCAGCUUGCUGCAGCGGAACUGACGCUGAUGCUCGAAAGCGCGGGUAUCGAACAGGAUUAGAUACCCGAGUAGUC
rnacentral:rRNA from 1 species